UACGUAGGGUGCAAGCGUUGUCCGGAAUUACUGGGCGUAAAGAGUUCGUAGGCGGUUUGUCGCGUCGUUUGUGAAAACCAGCAGCUCAACUGCUGGCUUGCAGGCGAUACGGGCAGACUUGAGUACUGCAGGGGAGACUGGAAUUCCUGGUGUAGCGGUGAAAUGCGCAGAUAUCAGGAGGAACACCGGUGGCGAAGGCGGGUCUCUGGGCAGUAACUGACGCUGAGGAGCGAAAGCGUGGGGAGCGAACAGG
rnacentral:rRNA from 1 species